rnacentral:rRNA from 1 species
UUGUGUCUUCGAGUCGUUGAUUUCACACUGCCGAGAAAAGCCUCUAGAUAGAAAAUAGGUGCCCGUACCGCAAACCGACACAGGUAGUCAAGAUGAGAAUUCUAAGGUGAGCGAGCGAACUCUCGUUAAGGAACUCGGCAAAAUGACCCCGUAACUUCGGGAGAAGGGGUGCUCUUUAGGGUUAACGCCCAGAAGAGCCGCAGUGAAUAGGCCCAAGCGACUGUUUAUCAAAAACACAGGUCUCUGCUAAACCGUAAGGUGAUGUAUAGGGGCUGACGCCUGCCCGGUGCUGGAAGGUUAAGAGGAGUGGUUAGCUUCUG